GUACACUCCUACGGGAGGCAGCAGUGGGGAAUAUUGGACAAUGGGCGCAAGCCUGAUCCAGCCAUGCCGCGUGAGUGAUGAAGGCCCUAGGGUUGUAAAGCUCUUUCACCGGUGAAGAUAAUGACGGUAACCGGAGAAGAAGCCCCGGCUAACUUCGUGCCAGCAGCCGCGGUAAUACGAAGGGGGCUAGCGUUGUUCGGAUUUACUGGGCGUAAAGCGCACGUAGGCGGACUAUUAAGUCAGGGGUGAAAUCCCGGGGCUCAACCCCGGAACUGCCUUUGAUACUGGUAGUCUUGAGUUCGAGAGAGGUGAGUGGAAUUCCGAGUGUAGAGGUGAAAUUCGUAGAUAUUCGGAGGAACACCAGUGCCGAAGGCGGCUCACUGGCUCGAUACUGACGCUGAGGUGCGAAAGCGUGGGGAGCAAACAGGAUUAGAAACCCGAGUAGUCCCAUG
rnacentral:rRNA from 1 species